rfam:Arabis alpina cultivar Pajares Aa.chr7_contig_3567, whole genome shotgun sequence.
GAAAGUGAUGAUAAGAAAUUGUCGCCCCAGUCUUGCUUGCAUUUUUACUAUGGAUGCAGUAUGUUAAAUUGUUGACUGACUAUAUUCGUCUGAUUC